rnacentral:rRNA from 1 species
GGACCCGCACAAGCGGUGGAGCAUGUGGUUUAAUUCGAUGCAACGCGAAAAACCUUACCUACUCUUGACAUACUUGGAAGCUCUUGUAAUGAGAGUGUGCCUUUUGGAGCCAAGAUACAGGUGCUGCAUGGCUGUCGUCAGCUCGUGUCGUGAGAUGUUCCGUUAAGUCGGAUAACGAGCGCAACCCUUACCCUUAUUUGCCAGCGAUUCGGUCGGGAACUAUAAGGGGACUGCCGGUGAUAAACCGGAGGAAGGUGAGGACGACGUCAAGUCAUCAUGGCCCUUACGAGUAGGGCUACACACGUGCUACAAUGGGGAAUACCAGACAGGCGUAAGCCGGCGAGGGGGAGCUGAA